rnacentral:lncRNA from 1 species
AGAGUCGCAGCCGAGGGGAGCCGGGGCCGGAGCCCGAGCCCGAGCCGAGCCGGAGCCCGAGCGAGCGGCGGAGACCGUGCCCCCGCCUCGGCCCCGCGCCGCCGCGGCCAGGCCCGGCAUGGAGGAGGAGUGCCGGGUGCUCUCCAUACAGAGCCACGUCAUCCGCGGCUACGUGGGCAACCGGGCGGCCACGUUCCCGCUGCAGGUUUCAGUUAAACAUAUCCUUCGAGGGUCCAGCAUUCAAUCUGGAAGGAGCCUUCAGAGAAAUUUGAAAGUGGCAUAAACCAAGGGGUGAAUUAAAGGCCCAGAAGUUGAUGACGUCAAGACGUCCUUUUUGGAAGUGAGGGGAGCAGCACAGCUGUGAGUCUCCAAACUGGGCUGUGCAGAGAUUGUCCCAAGCACGUCUGAGGCCAGUAGCUGCCCUGUGGGGAGAGGCAAGCCUGUCCUGUCACUGUGCAUCCCGUCCAGAUGGACAGGUAGUAGAUUCCCGCUGGCUGGGUGAUAUCCGUGUCCUUCAUCUGUCAGCCUCUGGAGCCGCCGAGGCUGGGUGCCAGGCACUGCCGCCUGGGACACAUGUGACCUCCGUGCUGCAGGACCACAGU